GAUGAACGCUGGCGGCGUGCCUAAUACAUGCAAGUCGAGCGAACGGACGAGAAGCUUGCUUUUCUGAUGUUAGCGGCGGACGGGUGAGUAACACGUGGAUACCCUACCUAUAAGACUGGGAUAACUUCGGGAAACCGGAGCUAAUACCGGAUAAUAUUUUGAACCGCAUGGUUCAAAAGUGAAAGACGGUCUUGCUGUCACUUAUAGAUGGAUCCGCGCUGCAUUAGCUAGUUGGUAAGGUAACGGCUUACCAAGGCAAUGAUGCAUAGCCGACCUGAGAGGGUGAUCGGCCACACUGGAACUGAGACACGGUCCAGACUCCUACGGGAGGCAGCAGUAGGGAAUCUUCCGCAAUGGGCGAAAGCCUGACGGAGCAACGCCGCGUGAGUGAUGAAGGUCUUCGGAUCGUAAAACUCUGUUAUUAGGGAAGAACAUAUGUGUAAGUAACUGUGCACAUCUUGACGGUACCUAAUCAGAAAGCCACGGCUAACUACGUG
rnacentral:rRNA from 1 species